rnacentral:rRNA from 1 species
UACGGAGGAUGCAAGCGUUAUCCGGAUUUAUUGGGUUUAAAGGGUGCGUAGGCGGCCUUGUAAGUCAGCGGUGAAAUUUUGCAGCUUAACUGUAAAAGUGCCGUUGAUACUGUGAGGCUAGGAUUUGGUUGCUGUGGGUGGAAUGUGUGGUGUAGCGGUGAAAUGCUUAGAGAUCACACAGAAUAUCGAUUGCGAAAGCAGCUCACAAAGCCAAGAUUGACGCUGAGGCGCGAAAGCGUGGGGAGCAAACAGGA